rnacentral:lncRNA from 1 species
UUGCAGACAGUAGAAUGGCAUAGGAAGAUGAAUGAAAAGAAGAAGAGGAGAUAUUUAAAGAGCCCAGCAUUUGAUAAAAAUGAGAAUAUAUCGCCUCAAGCAGAAGCAGAUGAAGAUAUGGGAGAUGAAGUAGACAGUAUGUUGGAUAAAUCUGAAGUAAACAACCCAGCAAUUGGUAAAGAUGAAAAUAUAUCGCCUCAAGUAAAAGGACAUGAAGACAGGGGACAUGAAAUAGGCAGUAUGUUGGAUAAAUCUGGAGGUCUCUGCUAAGAAAAACUGAGAACUUCACUGUAAGUGCAAGAGUUUGAACAGACUGGCUCCUAGCAGAAAUCAGGAAGGCCAAGGAAAUGGAGACCCU